GACGAACGCUGGCGGCGUGCCUAAUACAUGCAAGUCGAGCGAAGUUUUUCUGGUGCUUGCACUAGAAAAACUUAGCGGCGAACGGGUGAGUAACACGUAAAGAACCUGCCUCAUAGACUGGGACAACUAUUGGAAACGAUAGCUAAUACCGGAUAACAGUAUUUCUCGCAUGAGAGAUAUUUAAAAGUUGGUUAUGCUAACACUAUGAGAUGGCUUUGCGGUGCAUUAGCUAGUUGGUGGGGUAAAGGCCCACCAAGGCGACGAUGCAUAGCCGACCUGAGAGGGUGAUCGGCCACACUGGGACUGAGACACGGCCCAGACUCCUACGGGAGGCAGCAGUAGGGAAUCUUCCGCAAUGGGCGAAAGCCUGACGGGGCAACGCCGCGUGAGUGAAGAAGGAUUUCGGUUCGUAAAGCUCUGUUGUUAGGGAAGAAUGGAUAUGUAGUAACUAUACAUGUAAGAGACGGUACCUAACCAGAAAGCCACGGCUAACUACGUG
rnacentral:rRNA from 1 species